rnacentral:rRNA from 1 species
UACGUAGGUGGCAAGCGUUGUCCGGAUUUAUUGGGUUUAAAGGGUGCGUAGGUGGCUAUCUAAGUCAGUGGUGAAAUAUCUCAGCUUAACUGAGAGGGUGCCAUUGAUACUGGAUAGCUUGAGUACAGAUGAGGUAGGCGGAAUUGACGGUGUAGCGGUGAAAUGCGCAGAUAUCAGGAGGAACACCGAUGGCGAAGGCAGGUCUCUGGGCCAUAACUGACGCUGAGAAGCGAAAGCAUGGGGAGCGAACAGG